rnacentral:rRNA from 1 species
AGUGAACGCUGGCGGUAUGCCUAACACAUGCAAGUCGAACGGCAGCACAGUAAGCUCUUGCUCUUGCGGUUGGCGAGUGGCGGACGAGUGAGGAAUACAUCGGAAUCUACUUUUUCGUGGGUGAUAACGUAGGGACAGUUACACUAAUACCUCAUACUAUCUACCGGUUAAAGCAGAGGAUCUUCGGACCUUUCGCGUUUGUAUUAGCCGAUGCCGCAUUAGAUAGUUGGCAUGGUAAAGGCUCACCAAGGCAACGAUCCGUUGCUGGGCUGAGAGGAUGAUCAGCCACACUGGAACUGAGACACGGUCCAGACUCCUACGGGAGGCAGCAGUGGGGAAUAUUCCGCAAAGGGCGAAAGCCUGACGGAGCAACGCCGCGUGAGUGAUGAAGGUCUUCGGAUCGUAAAGCUCUGUUGUUAGGAAAGAACAGAUGUAUAAGUAACUGUGGACAUCUUGACGGUACCUAAUCAAAAAGCCACGGCUAACUACGUG